rnacentral:rRNA from 1 species
CCUACGGGAGGCAGCAGUGGGGAAUAUUGCACAAUGGGGGAAACCCUGAAGCAGCGACGCCGCGUGAGUGAAGAAGUAUUUCGGAUUGUAAAGCCCUAUCAGCAGGGAAGAAAAUGACGGUACCUGAUUAAGAAGCACCGGCUAACUACGUGCCAGCAGCCGCGGUAAUACGUAGGGGGCAAGCGUUAUCCGGAUUCACUGGGUGUAAAGAGCGCGUAGGCGGCAGAACAAGUCAGGAGUGAAAUGCUGUGGCUUAACCACAGAACUGCAUUUGAAACUGUUAAGCUAGAGUGCGGGAGAGGUAGGUGGAAUUCUUGGUGUAGCGGUGAAAUGCGUAGAGAUCAAGAGGAAUACUAAUUGCGAAGGUGGCUUGCUGGACUAUAACUGACGCUGAGGCUCGAAAGCGUGGGGAGCAAACAGGAUUAGAUACCCUGGUAGUC